UACGAAAGGACCAAGCGUUACUCGGAAUCACUGGGCGUAAAGCGCGCGUAGGCGGCCUUGUAUGUCGAUUGUGAAAGCCCCGGGCUCAACCUGGGAACUGCAGUCGAAACUGCAAGGCUUGAAUGUUGGAGAGGUUGGGGGAAUACCUAGUGGAGAAGUGAAAUUCGUAGAGAUUAGGUGGAACACCAGAGGCGAAGGCGCCUGACUGGCCAAACAUUGACGCUAAGGCGCGAAAGCGUGGGUAGCAAACAGG
rnacentral:rRNA from 1 species